AUAUCAUUGGCACAACUGGGCAAACCCGUAUGUGGACUCACCUUGAGCGUCAAGCUGAAGGACAGGUCAAGGGUAUCGGUGAAAAAACAAAUUGGAGUAGACGAGAAAAUUUUACGUGCUCCACCUUUUCAAUUGCUGGAAAUGAAGAAGUAAUGACAAAAUACUAUAGAGAGCAUGACAAAGCAUUCGGAACAGUAACUACGACAGAAUAAUUCGAUGAUCAAGGAACAAAAAGCGGCAGAUAGUAACAGAAAAAUCAACUGCUGAUAGAGCAAUUGAUCUCGAAAGUAGCUGUGUGAAACCUUUUGACCGCGAAGGAGGUGGUUGCAGAGGACACAGCAGAGUAAGAAGCUACGAAAACGACAAAGAAAUGAAAAUUAGAAGCUAAAAGAUCACAUGAACCUGAGGUUAGAAAAGGGGUAAUAGUUUCCCUUUAAUUUCAUCACAGUCUGAAAUUUACUGGUUCGACUAAUUCAGAUUCACAUCGAAAAGACCCGUUAAAGAAGUUUUUCUUUUCAAGGGGUCGAACUUGAAACUUCUAAUAAACAGGAGGGAUCUCAAUAUGAUGCCUUAGGGAUUUUUUUUUGUUGUUGUUGGUAUAUGGACAUUUGCUUUAGUAGUGACUUGUCUUUGUCCAUUUAAUUAUUCGAAUCGAAUUGUUCCCUGCAAAAAUGCAUAUAGAAAUAAUUUAUGUCUUUAAAGUAUUUAUGUAAAUUUAUCUUUUUCUUAAAUGUCUUAUUAAA